AAAAAAAAAAAGACAUAGGACAGGAGCCACAGCUUGCUCGCGGUAACAGGAGCCACAGCUUGCUCGCGGUAACAGGAGCCACAGCUUGCUCGCGGUAACAGCCCAAGUGCAAAGAGAGUGGAUCUGCAUCAGGUGGAUGUGGGAGUCACCCUGCUUCGUAGCCUCGUAGCGCAUUGGAGUCGGUACCUGUGGUAACAGUGUGGAUAUGCCUUGUAGGGUUCCUGUAAGAGGUGUGCUCGCAUACCAGUGUCACUGUGCUCAGGGAAGCCAAAGCACUGUGUCCUCACCAGGUGUUGGUUCUUGCAGUCCAGAUGGAGUAUGCUUAUCAGGGGUCAUUGUAACCGUAGGUAAUGUUGCCUAGAGAAUAGCAUUUUGUAAAUCAGAAAUAUGCUCUUACAGACAUUUUUCAUUGACAUUGAAUUUCAGCCAGAUUUGUAUAAAUAAUUAAGAUUUGAAUUUAAUUUAAAUGGUUAAAAAUAAAAUUUUCAAAAACUGAUUUUGCUUUCUGUGUUAGUCCUUGCCUGACAAAGAUGGGAAGAAAUGCCUGUUUCUCAUAAAAUGUUUCGAUAAGACCUUUGAAAUCAGUGCCUCAGAUAAGAAGAAGAAACAGGAGUGGAUACAGGCCAUUCAUUCUACUAUCCAUCUGUUGAAGUUGGGCAGCCCCCCACCACAUAAAGAAGCCCGCCAGCGUCGGAAAGAACUCCGGAAGAAGCUGCUGGCUGAACAGGAGGAGCUGGAGCGACAGAUGAAGGAG